rnacentral:rRNA from 1 species
GACAGAGGAUGCAAGCGUUAUCCGGAAUGAUUGGGCGUAAAGCGUCUGUAGGUGGCUUUUUAAGUUCGCCGUCAAAUCCCAGGGCUCAACCCUGGACAGGUGGUGGAAACUACCAAGCUAGAGUACGGUAGGGGCAGAGGGAAUUUCCGGUGGAGCGAUGAGAUGCGUAGAGAUCGGAAGGAACACCCAAGGCGAAAGCACUCUGCUGGGCCGACACUGACACUGAGAGACGAAAGCUAGGGGAGCAAAUGGG